GGGGGUGUACUGGUUUCGACGGGGGUAGUUGAGGUAAAAGUAGCGAGCCGAGGUUCCAUCUGCUCGUAAAACGGUGGACUUAAAUAUAAACGCAAACGAUAAUUUAGCUUACGCUGCUUAAUUACAAGCAGCCGUUCAACCUUUGAUUCCCACAUCAAAGGAUUGGGCGUCGAUUUAGUGGGGAACUGAUUUAUCAAAGCUUUGAGAUAAAUCGGAUUUUAUGAAGCUACCAAAGCAGUUAUCCUGUCACUGGGAGAGCUGCAGAGGGAAUGUCAAAACAGUGACUGCGCUCGGAGAAGCUUUUACUGUGACACCUUCGGACCGGGGUUCGACUCCCCGCACCUCCACCA
rfam:Thermoanaerobacterium saccharolyticum JW/SL-YS485, complete genome.